CGCUCACAGCCCGCCCGGCAUCGGGCGCCCCGGCACCGGCUGAGCCGGGCGGCCCCCGCCCCGCCCGCCUCCGUGCGCCGCCGCCUCCCCGAAGUUGGGGCCCGGCCGGAGCGAGCUGCGGCUGCUGCCCCCCGAGCGGCGUCACGUGGCGGAGCUGAGCCGCAAAGCCGCUUUACAGCCCGGCGAUUUAAAGAGCAAAGUCGCCGCCGCAGCGCCCGGUCCCUCCCUCCGCGCCUCGCGGGGCCGCCCCUCUCCCGCCCGCACCGAUCGGCGCGGGGGCGGCAGCGGGCAAUGGGACGGGACGGGACGGGACGGGACGGGACGGGAUGGGAUGGGACGGGACGGGAUGGGAUGGGACGGGACGGGGUGUUGGCGGUUCGGCCGCUGUUGGCGCCCAGCCUUCCUGCUUCUCUUUGAGAUAAAAACCUUGGAAAGCGCCGUGUGGCAGCGCGCCGUGAGAGGAGCGCCGCAGGGAGCCCCCAACCUGCCCGGAGGGGAUGCUGAGACUGCACGAUAUCUUAGAAAAAGAACACUGGACCUUUUGUCCAUUUGAACAACGUCUGAAAGUUGCUGUGAACGCACGAGUUGUGAGAUACUCCGCUGUGAUCUCCCGCAGCAGUGAUGAUUCUGAGCCUGGAUGAUGAACACGCGGCCCCAUGCGGAGCGCACUCUGUGAACGCACAACUUUGCAUAGGGAGAAGCAAGCAUACAGAAGUUCUGCUGAAAUUGGCUGCCUUCCCCCGUGUCUUCAGAUCAUGCAGUCUGAGUGCCCAGGGGACUCCAGCUUUUGGACCAGGACUGAAGAAACAUCAUGUGGAUGACCUGCAUGACAUAAUCCAUAUUCAGGUAUACUAAUAACUGCGUUCUUACUUGGACCUCACUCUGCUUCUUUGGUUCAGCAUCACUCAGCCCUGUGCUGUCCAAGCCAGCAUCAACUCAGGUGUGUGAAACAUCAUGACAUGCUGCAUUUCUUGAUAGAAGCAAACGUCAAGGCAGAAAAAUUAAGGGAAAGAUGUAGGGUGCUGUUCAAAAGAGCUUUCAAAUACUGCAGAUCGCACAAAUAAAUAGUUUUUUCCCACAGAACCA
rnacentral:lncRNA from 1 species